ensembl:misc_RNA
UUGACAACCCUGGAGACUGAAAUCUAUUAUUUAUCUACAGAAUAGAAACAGCAUGGGCAGUGGUAGUGCAAGCUUCCCACACGUUGCCUCAGCGUGCCUCUCCCCUAACCUAGAGGAAUCAUCUUUAGGGGUUGCUCGUGAAAUCCUUUCCCUCUCUUCUGAGAUUGUCAACUACAGUCCCUG